rfam:Anaerofustis stercorihominis DSM 17244 Scfld_02_4 genomic scaffold, whole genome shotgun sequence.
UAUGACCUUAAAAGGACUGCUGUUAUUUUGAACCUACACUUUUAUACAGGGAUACCGAGUCUUUAUGUGGAUGUCACGCCUCUAUAAGUGGACGGCAGAAGCGGUAAGCAGGUAACCCACCUAUCUUUUUAGAUAGGAUCAAAAUUCUAGCACCUUUAAGGUCUUUU